UACAGAGGUCUCAAGCAUUGUUCGGAUUCAUUGGGCGUAAAGGGUGCGUAGGCGGCGCGGUAAGUCGGGUGUGAAAUCUUGGAGCUUAACUCCGAAACUGCAUUCGAUACUGCCGUGCUUGAGGACUGGAGAGGAGACUGGAAUUUACGGUGUAGCGGUGAAAUGCGUAGAUAUCGUAAGGAAGACCAGUGGCGAAGGCGGGUCUCUGGACAGUUCCUGACGCUGAGGCACGAAGGUCAGGGGAGCAAACGGG
rnacentral:rRNA from 1 species